UAAAAUUUUCCUAAAAUUGAAAAUGUGAAAAAAACCAGAAGAGCACUUACACAAAUCGGCAGUUAAGGCUAAUGGCAGACAUUCUUAGACUUCGAUAUAUCAGCCAAGACACAUACACGCACAAUGCGACACAACGCGUUGCAACGCUGCUAGGAAAGCCCUGUAAACUGAUGUGACGCUCUCCGUUGGAUGGAACAACAUCUGCUGCUGGAGUUACACAAACAAAAUGUGUUUCUGGCGAGCCCACGACCCUCGGAAGGGUUUAGUUGUGCGGAAAACACACUUGCACACUCUUAUUUCGAUAUUUGAAAUGAUGGCAUCUUCUACUUCUACGAAUCACAAGGCGACAACUCUACUUAAACUGGCGAACAAUCCUCUACUCUGGUACACAGCCAUCCUUGACGGACAGCGUACAGCUUUUGACGGGCUUUCCUAGGUUUUUAUAUCGUUAACAUCCAAGAGGUUACUUCACGCAAAUAUUCACGCACUACACAUUCACAAUCUCUCGUUAAAAAACUCUGGGCUGAUGGCAAGGCAGUUGGCAUGGCGAACGCACAUUUUAAUGUUUAAUUCUAGCAUAUUAAUAAAUAUAUUGAAAGAA